ACCCAUUUCCUCGAAAGAAACUGAUACCCCGGCAACGGACUAAAGUUUUUUUUUUUGCGGGAAGACUAAUGAUAAAGUUGUCUAUUUUAACACUGGAGAUCACCGAUCUUUUACCAAUUCAAAUACGACGAGAGAUUCUCUGUAUCUGCCUCGGUUGACCUGAUCGCAGCAAGGGACCUAUAUUUAAUUUAGCACUUCAGGACCACAAGUUGACUCCAAAACUGGUUUGGUUUGGUUUAGGUCCUUGUACUUAUCCCAGACCAAGUAUUCUUCCAGUCCUUGAAAGUCUAUAUUUGCGCUCGGGAUAUGUGUAGAAUGCAGGAUUCCGUACGAUAUUUUCUGAAGGGUUGUUUCUUAGAUAGAGAAAAUAAUACAAAUAAGAAAACGCCUAAGUUGACAAGAGUUCACAAGAUAGUCCACGGCGACUUAGAAGAAAAUGAUGUACUACUACAGUCCAACAAUAAGGAGAAGAAGUCCAACCGGCAAGAUAUAGCCAGGUCCUUGCGACUUGUAUAGGCUCUGUGGAUCACAGGCUCACAGCCAGUGCAGAUAUAUAGGUCCUUCCAAAACUUGUGAUGUUAAUUAUUUGGCCAGUGGCCAACUGGAUUAGAGGAUACUAAACUUUUUUUUGUGUUUUUCUUGUCGUUUCAGGAUAUUCUCUCUCUCUUGCGAGAUUAGUAUAACAAAAUCAGGCGCAUUUUAUGUGCCAGACAAGUCAGAUGGAGACAAGGAAAUAUUGUGAGGGUAUAUUAGGCGAAGAAUGAGCACCGGUGAAAAUUCGAUAAGAAUGCCUCCAUACAAUUGCAAGAUGCAUUUGCCGCUUCCGUUGGUCUCAAAAUGUGAUUCAAAUUUAUCCAAUUGAUACGUAUUAUUUUUUUAACCUGAUAAAGCCUAAAUGAGCCCAGUGGCCCAAAACACUUACAACGAUAUGUCAGGGUGUUUAUACCACUGGAAUUACUGCAAGGAGAUUACCAUUUUUGCAAAUGUUAUAUGAAAAUUAGUACUCCGUUUGAAAUUUUCAUCACUGGUUGUUUUUCAACUUGUCUAAACCAGGUUUGAACACACCUACGAGACAUUUUGCAUGCAAUUCAAAUCAAGGUGUUUCUUGGUCCCCUUUGGAAAUAUUGCAAAACUGUAGUUGGUUCAGAGUUUCCUUUUUUUUCUUCUUUUUGGGUCUCAAAGAUAUUGACAACACAUUGUCUAAACAAAGACAUUACAACUAACUAAUUGCUGCAGGGACACCGAGCUCUGAUUGUGUCGUUUAGUUUUCUCUUAACUUUUGGAUCAUAAAGCAGAAGUGUUAUUUUAGGAAUUCAAGUUCUAAUCAUGCAGAGAUAUAUGCGCAUAGCUUAAAUUAAAGGUGUCCUAAUCAUCAUAAAGGUAUCCUUAGCUUAGUUUAUCAUCCAUCUGAUUUCUUUAUGGUGGAUUAGUUUCAUAUAUGCUUCAUUAAUUAACAAUUAGGCCCCUUUUUUGGGUUAACACGUCUCUUGAUCCUACUCUUAAGAAUCAUAAAUCUCUAAACAAAUGCUACUUUUUCUCUCUUUAUGUGAUGAGAAGCGAUCAUCUUUCGUAGAAUUUAUCUGAAGUAGAACUUCAACAAAAGAUAGCACGCCUUGUCCUCGAUUCUAAUUAAGAUAAACUCUCGUCAUCAUAGAUUAAUUCCAGGAUAUCAAUCAUGGAUGAAUAUAUGUUGUGGAC
rnacentral:lncRNA from 1 species